ACUAUUCUUUUCUUGGAGGUGCCCUGGUGUCCAGUGAGCGUGUAAUGCAGGCAGUACUGCUAACACCUACAUAACACACCCCGCAUCAACUAGAGCUUGGCUUUACCUGCAUAUGAAAAA
ensembl:snRNA